UACGUAGGGGGCGAGCGUUGUCCGGAUUUAUUGGGCGUAAAGAGCGUGUAGGCGGCUUGGUAGGUCUCGCGUCAAAACCUGCGGCUCAACCGCAGUUCGCGUGGGAAACCACCUAGCUAGAGUCCGGAAGAGGUGAGUGGAAUUCCUAGUGUAGAGGUGAAAUUCGUAGAUAUUAGGAAGAACACCAGUGGCGAAGGCGGCUCACUGGUCCGGUACUGACGCUGAGGUGCGAAAGCGUGGGGAGCAAACAGG
rnacentral:rRNA from 1 species